rnacentral:rRNA from 1 species
AUUGAACGCUGGCGGCAGGCUUAACACAUGCAAGUCGAGCGAGCGGCGGACGGGUGAGUAAUGUCUGGGACACUGCCUGAUGGAGGGGGAUAACUACUGGAAACGGUAGCUAAUACCGCAUACCAUCAGAUGUGCCCAGAUGGGAUUAGCGAGUUGGUGGGGGAAUGGCUCACCUAGGCGACUAUCCCUAGCUGGUCUUAGAGGAUGACCAGCCACACUAGAAGUGAGACACGGUCCGGACUCCGACGGGAGGCAGCAGUGGGGAAUAUUGCACAGUGGGGGCAGGCCUGAUGCAGCCAUGCCGCGUGUGGGAAGAAGGCCUUCGGGUUGUAAAGGACUUUCAGCGAGGAGGCGUUACUCGCAGAAGAAGCACCGGCUAACUCCGUGCCAGCAGCCGCGGUAAUAC